rnacentral:misc_RNA from 1 species
GGAAGUAAAAGUUCGUAACAAGGUUUCCGUAGGUGAACCUGCGGAAGGAUCAUUCAUAAUAAAGUGUUUUAUGGCACUUUUUAAAAAUCCAUAUCCACCUUGUGUGCAAUGUUAGAUCUCGUCAAUCUUGGCGAGAUUUUUAUACAUCAACUCAUUCUUUAACUAAUUUGUCUGAAAAAUAUUAUGAAUACUUAAUUCAAAAUACAACUUUCAACAACGGAUCUCUUGGCUCUC